UUGCUACAAUUGUUAGUGUUUUGCAAGUUGCAAAAAGGUUAAUUUGUACCGAUAUCCCACCGCGAUAACCGAUACUUUGCCGCAUUAACUACUUAGAAUUGCAUGAAACAUCACAAGGGACAUUGCAAACAAAAAAAAAAUUAUGACCCUUUACUUAGGAAUGGAAGAUAUAUUAUUAAAGAAAACAGAAGAAUGAGAAUACGCUUCACGUAAACAAUACCUGCACUCCUUUUACUUGCAUUUGUUGUAUAAGUUCGGUA
rnacentral:lncRNA from 1 species